rnacentral:rRNA from 1 species
UACGGGGGGGGCAAGCGUUGUUCGGAAUUACUGGGCGUAAAGGGUUCGUAGGUGGCCAACUAAGUCAGACGUGAAAUCCCUCAGCUUAACUGGGGAACUGCGUCUGAGACUGGAUGGCUUGAGUGCAGGAGAGGAACGCGGAAUUCCAGGUGUAGCGGUGAAAUGCGUAGAUAUCUGGAGGAACACCGGUGGCGAAGGCGGCAUCCUGGACCAACACUGACACUGAGGAGCGAAAGCCAGGGGAGCAAACGGG